ACCCGCACAAGCGGUGGAUGAUGUGGAUUAAUUCGAUGCAACGCGAAAAACCUUACCUACCCUUGACAUGUCAGGAACCCCGCUGAGAGGUGGGGUGCUCGAAAGAGAACCUGAACACAGGUGCUGCAUGGCUGUCGUCAGCUCGUGUCGUGAGAUGUUGGGUUAAGUCCCGCAACGAGCGCAAUCCUUGUCAUUAGUUGCUACGAAAGGGCACUCUAAUGAGACUGCCGGUGACAAACCGGAGGAAGGUGGGGAUGACGUCAAGUCCUCAUGGCCCUUAUGGGUAGGGCUUCACACGUCAUACAAUGGUACAUACAGAGGGCCGCCAACCCGCGAGGGGGAGCUAAUCCCAGAAAGUGUAUCGUAGUCCGGAUUGUAGUCCGCAACUCGACUACAUGAAGUUGGAAUCGCUAGUAAUCGCGGAUCAGCAUGUCGCGGUGAAUACGUUCCCGGGUCUU
rnacentral:rRNA from 1 species